GGGAGUUUGGCCGAGUGGUUAAGGCGUUGUGUUUAGGUCUUCUUCGAGAACAUCUUGAACCUUUGACCCGCAAUGGGAAACCGCGCAGGUUCGAAUCCUGCAGCUCUCA